rnacentral:lncRNA from 1 species
GUUGUCAUGGCCGGUUGAACGCAUUUUUAUUCUGGACAAAACAUAUUGGAAUUAAGAAGACUCAGCUAGUUUCUAUAACUUCGAUGGGGUUUAAACAUGGUUGUUAAAAAGAUAUUCUGAAUAUUUCAAGAGUAUUAAAGAGCAGCUGGAGCCCCCAUUCGAAACAAUAUAUUCAGGGAGGAUUCCUUUCUUCAUAGAAUUUGGAAUUACUUCUGCAGUUAUGAUUUUUUGGCUGUGUAUACCAGAUAGGAAAGAAUGGAGUCUGAUGAAUAUUUAAUGCAUUCAGAUGACGUAUUUUAAAAUGGAUUUUACUGCGGAGGUAGGCGAAGGAGAGGGGAGUCGGAAUUUUUCAAAAGAGUAUUUCUGCUACUUUUUAUUUGAUGCACCGAGAUUGAUGUUCAUGCUUUCCUUCUGAGAUAUGGAAAUAGGAGAAAAAAAGAGAGAAAGACUGUAUUCUAUUUAUUUUCAAUUUUGUAAGGCCUCGAGUUUUAAUCUAUUUUUUAGACAUUCAUUUCUCUCAGUAGAGGGAUAAAUUCGCUUUUAAGAGAGUUAGUGGAAAUUCUUUUACAACAACGUAUAAAUAAAUAUCGUUAUUUCCUUUUUCACUUUCGUUUAUGUUUGAUUAUAAUGUGCUGAAGAAGAA